CCCCUCCCGUUUCCUGUCCCAGCAGCUCUGAGCUCUGAUCUGAGUGGUUGCAAAAGGAGGAAAAGUCACGAGGAAACUGAGUUCAAUGAUUUGUAGCAUAUGGGCUAAUUUCAGGUUCAAAUAAAU
rnacentral:snoRNA from 1 species